rnacentral:rRNA from 1 species
UACGUAGGGGGCAAGCGUUGUCCGGAAUCAUUGGGCGUAAAGCGCGUGUAGGCGGCUCGGUAAGUCUGCUGUGAAAGUCCAGGGCUCAACCCUGGGAUGCCGGUGGAUACUGUCGAGCUCGAGUCCGGAAGAGGCGAGUGGAAUUCCUGGUGUAGCGGUGAAAUGCGCAGAUAUCGGGAAGAACACCCGUGGCGAAGGCGGUUCUCUGGGACGGUACUGACGCUGAGACGCGAAAGCGUGGGGAGCAAACAGG